GAUGAACGCUGGCGGCGUGCCUAAUACAUGCAAGUCGAGCGAACAGAUGAGGAGCUUGCUCCUCUGACGUUAGCGGCGGACGGGUGAGUAACACGUGGAUAACCUACCUAUAAGACUGGGAUAACUUCGGGAAACCGGAGCUAAUACCGGAUAAUAUAUUGAACCGCAUGGUUCAAUAGUGAAAGACGGUUUUGCUGUCACUUAUAGAUGGAUCCGCGCCGCAUUAGCUAGUUGGUAAGGUAACGGCUUACCAAGGCAACGAUGCGUAGCCGACCUGAGAGGGUGAUCGGCCACACUGGAACUGAGAAACGGUCCAGACUCCUACGGGAGGCGACAGUAGGGAAUCUUCCGCAAUGGGCGAAAGCCUGACGGAGCAACGCCGCGUGAGUGAUGAAGGUCUUCGGAUCGUAAAACUCUGUUAUUAGGGAAGAACAAAUGUGUAAGUAACUAUGCACGUCUUGACGGUACCUAAUCAGAAAGCCACGGCUAACUACGUG
rnacentral:rRNA from 1 species